AUGAUUAUUCGUUCGCCGGAACCAGAAGUAAAAAUUGUUGUGGAUAGGGAUCCUGUAAAAACAACUUUUGAGGAAUGGGCCAGACCCGGCCAUUUCUCAAGAACACUAGCUAAGGGCCCUGAUACUACCACUUGGAUCUGGAACCUACAUGCUGAUGCUCACGAUUUCGAUAGUCAUACUAGUGAUUUGGAGGAGAUUUCUCGAAAAGUCUUUAGUGCUCAUUUCGGGGAACUUUCCAUUAUCUUUCUUUGGUUGAGUCUCAUGUACUUUCAUGGCGCCCGUUUUUCCAAUUAUGAAGCAUGGCUAAGUGAUCCUACUCACAUUGGACCCAGUGCUCAGGUAGUUUGGCCUAUAGUAGGGCAAGAAAUAUUGAAUGGUGAUGUAGGCGGGGGUUUCCGAGGAAUCCAAAUAACCUCUGGUUUUUUCAGCUUUGGCGAGCAUCUGGAAUAA
rnacentral:rRNA from 1 species